UACGGGGGGAGCAAGCGUUGUUCGGAUUUACUGGGCGUAAAGGGCGCGUAGGCGGUCAGCACAAGUCAGUUGUGAAAUCUCCGGGCUUAACCCGGAAAGGUCAACUGAUACUGUGCGACUAGAGUUCGGUAGGGGAGUCUGGAAUUCCUGGUGUAGCGGUGAAAUGCGCAGAUAUCAGGAGGAACACCGGUGGCGAAGGCGGGACUCUGGGCCGAUACUGACGCUGAGGAGCGAAAGCGUGGGGAGCGAACAGG
rnacentral:rRNA from 1 species